rnacentral:rRNA from 1 species
UGGAAUCGCUAGUAAUCGCGGAUCAGCACGCCGCGGUGAAUACGUUCCCGGGCCUUGUACACACCGCCCGUCACACCAUGGAAGUCUGCAAUGCCCGAAGCCGGUGGCCUAACCACUUAUGUGGAAGGAGCCGUCUAAGGCAGGGCAGAUGACUGGGGUGAAGUCGUAACAAGGUAGC